GGAGCUGUGGUUCAGUGGUAGAGCAUCUGCUAUGGAAUGUAGACAGCCCCAGGUUCAAUCUCUGUCAUCUCCA
rnacentral:tRNA from 1 species